rnacentral:rRNA from 1 species
UACGUAGGAGGCAAGCGUUGUCCGGAAUUACUGGGCGUAAAGCGCGUGUAGGUGGUGGGACAAGUCUGCUGUGAAAGCGCCUGGCUUAACCGGGCGAGGUCGGCGGAAACUGUUCGACUCGAGGACGGUAGAGGGGGGUGAAAUUCCCGGUGUAGUGGUGAAAUGCGUAGAGAUCGGGAGGAACACCUGUGGCGAAGGCGGCCCCCUGGGCCGGCCCUGACGCUGAGACGCGAAGGCGUGGGGAGCGAACGGG